CCUACGGGAGGCAGCAGUGGGGAAUUUUGGACAAUGGGCGCAAGCCUGACCCAGCAAUGCCGCGUGAGUGAAGAAGGCCUUCGGGUUGUAAAGCUCUUUUGUCAGGGAAGAAACGGUGAAGGCUAAUAUCCUUUGCUAAUGACGGUACCUGAAGAAUAAGCACCGGCUAACUACGUGCCAGCAGCCGCGGUAAUACGUAGGGUGCAAGCGUUAAUCGGAAUUACUGGGCGUAAAGCGUGCGCAGGCGGUUUUGUAAGUUUGUCGUGAAAUCCCCGGGCUCAACCUGGGAAUGGCGAUGAAGACUGCAAGGCUAGAAUCUGGCAGAGGGGGGUAGAAUUCCACGUGUAGCAGUGAAAUGCGUAGAGAUGUGGAGGAACACCGAUGGCGAAGGCAGCCCCCUGGGUCAAGAUUGACGCUCAUGCACGAAAGCGUGGGGAGCAAAACAGGAUUAGAUACCCUGGUAGUCCACGCCCUAAACGAUGUCUACUAGUUGUCGGGUUUUAAUUAACUUGGUAACGCAGCUAACGCGUGAAGUAGACCGCCUGGGGAGUACGGUCGCAAGAUUUAAAAACCNCGAAAAGGAAUUGACGGCUGAGAGUGCCGACGACGACGACGAGGGAGGUUAGGAG
rnacentral:rRNA from 1 species